rnacentral:rRNA from 1 species
UUUAUGGAGAGUUUGAUCCUGGCUCAGGAUUAACGCUGGCGGCGUGCCUAACACAUGCAAGUCGAACGAGGUAGCAAUACCUAGUGGCAGACGGGUGAGUAA